rnacentral:rRNA from 1 species
AGUGAUUGUGCCAGCAGCCGCGGUAAUACGUAGGGUGCGAGCGUUAAUCGGAAUUACUGGGCGUAAAGCGUGCGCAGGCGGUCCGCUAAGUCUGAUGUGAAAGCCCCGGGCUCAACCUGGGAAUGGCAUUGGAAACUGACGAGCUGGAGUUGUGGCCAGAGGGGGGUGGNAAUUUCCACGUUGUUAGCCAUUGAAUUGCCUUUAAAAAUUUGGAAGAAACCNCCCCGAAUGGNAAGGCCCCCCCCCCUUNGGCUNUANNCUUUAACNCNUANGGCCCCCA